AACGAACGCUGGCGGCAUGCCUAACACAUGCAAGUCGAACGAGACCUUCGGGUCUAGUGGCGCACGGGUGCGUAACGCGUGGGAACCUGCCCUUAGGUUCGGAAUAACUCCCCGAAAGGGGUGCUAAUACCGGUUAAUGUCUUCGGACCAAGGAUUUAUCGCUUUUGGAUGGGCCCGGGUUGGAUUAGCUAGUUGGUAGGGUAAAAGCCUACCAAGGGGACGUUCCAUAGCUGGUCUGAGAGGAUGAUCAGCCACACUGGCACUGAGACACGGCCCAGACUCCUACGGGAGGCAGCAGUGGGGAAUAUUGGACGAUGGGCGAAAGCCUGAUCCAGCAAUGCCGCGUGAGUGAUGAAGGCCUUAGGGUUGUAAAGCUCUUUUACCCGGGAUGAUAAUGACAGUACCGGGAGAAUAAGCUCCGGCUAACUCCGUG
rnacentral:rRNA from 1 species